CCUACGGGUGGCAGCAGUGAGGAAUAUUGGUCAAUGGGCUUACGCCUGAACCAGCCAAGUCGCGUGAGGGAAGACUGCCCUAUGGUUUGUAAACCUCUUUUGUCAGGGAGCAAUUGGCGCUACGUGUAGCGUUAUCGAGAGUACCUGAAGAAAAAGCAUCGACUAACUCCGUGCCAGCAGCCGCGGUAAUACGGGGGAUGCGAGCGUUAUCAGGAUUUAUGGGGUUUAAAGGGUGCGUAGGCGGAAUGCAAAGUCAGCGGUAAAAUCGCGGGGCUCACCCUCGAUCCGCCGUUGAAACUGGCGUUGGUGAGUAGGAGAGAAGUAGGCGGAAUGCGGGGUGUAGCGGUGAAAUGCA
rnacentral:rRNA from 1 species